rnacentral:rRNA from 2 species
CACACGCGGCAUUGCUGGAUCAGGGUUGCCCCCAUUGUCCAAAAUUCCCCACUGCUGCCUCCCGUAGGAGUCUGGGCCGUGUCUCAGUCCCAGUGUGGCUGAUCGUCCUCUCAGACCAGCUACUGAUCGUCGCCUUGGUAGGCCUUUACCCCACCAACUAGCUAAUCAGACAUCGGCCGCUCCUAUCGCGCGAGGCCGUUACCGGUCCCCCGCUUUCACCCUCAGGUCGUAUGCGGUAUUAGCUAAUCUUUC